GCAGACCACUCCUACGGGAGGCAGCAGUGGGGAAUAUUGCACAAUGGGCGCAAGCCUGAUGCAGCCAUGCCGCGUGUAUGAAGAAGGCCUUCGGGUUGUAAAGUACUUUCAGCAGUGAGGAAGGUGGGUAUGUUAAUAGCAUAUUCAUUUGACGUUAGCUGCAGAAGAAGCACCGGCUAACUCCGUGCCAGCAGCCGCGGUAAUACGGAGGGUGCGAGCGUUAAUCGGAAUUACUGGGCGUAAAGCGCAUGCAGGUGGUUUGUUAAGUCAGAUGUGAAAGCCCGGGGCUCAACCUCGGAAUUGCAUUUGAAACUGGCAAACUAGAGUACUGUAGAGGGGGUAGAAUUUCAGGUGUAGCGGUGAAAAUGCGUAGAGAUCUGAAGGAAUACCGGUGGCGAAGGCGGCCCCCUGGACAGAUACUGACACUCAGAUGCGAAAGCGUGGGGAGCAAACAGGAUUAGAUACCCUGGUAG
rnacentral:rRNA from 1 species